rnacentral:rRNA from 1 species
GUGAGUAGUUCAGAGUUUGAUCCUGGCUCAGGACGAACGCUGGCGGCGUGCUUAACACAUGCAAGUCGAACGAUGAAGCCGGGGCUUUGCUUUGGUGGAUUAGUGGCGAACGGGUGAGUAAUACGUGAGUAACCUGCCCUCCGCUUCGGGAUAAGCCUUGGAAACGGGGUCUAAUACCGGAUGUUGGCCUUCUUCCCGCAUGGGUUGGGGGUGAAAGUUUUUUCGGCGGGGGAUGGGCUCGCGGCCUAUCAGCUUGUUGGUGGGGUGAUGGCCUACCAAGGCGUCGACGGGUAGCCGGCCUGAGAGGGUGACCGGCCACAUUGGGACUGAGAUACGGCCCAG